AUGUCAUCGUUGCCCGGGGACGACGCGAGCAGCGCUCUGCCCAGUGCACGGACUCCCACCACAGUAGUCGACGGCGACGUCGUCUUCUCCGCUGUCGCCCUCCUCUUCCUCGGCCUCGCCCUCGUCUUCGUUCUUUACCACUACCUCAUUGCCAGUCGCCACGGCGUUCGGGGUGGGGCCGGGACGGCGAGGAGCGGUCCGCGCCUCGGCGUUGGCGCAGCUUCUGCUUCCGGCGUCGCAAAAGGUGUUGAGCUGGUGGUGCUACGGGCGCUGCCGGUGACGCUGUACCGUGCGAAGGACUUCGAGGAUGCGCUGGAGUGCGCCGUGUGCCUCGCCGAGCUUUCCGACGGCGAGGCGGCCAGGUUCUUGCCCAAGUGCGGGCACGGCUUCCACGCCGAGUGCGUCGACCUGUGGCUGCAUUCCCACCCCACCUGCCCGCUCUGCCGCGUCGAUGUCGACAAGCCGGACGCCUUGCCGCCGACUCUACCUCCGGUGCGCCCUGAACCGGCGAAUUACGCUACAAACCUGCCGACCAACGUGCUGUUCUGGGGAUCCCCGGACGCGGUCACGACUGGAAGAACAGUCGGCGGCCCGAGCUCGUCCACUGGAGCAACGGCGGCGAUUGCCAUCGAGGUCCCGGAGGCCACGGAAUCGGAGUUGGUGCCGCGUGAUGGUGAUGCCGGGAAGUCACAGGGUUUGGCGAGGAUGAGGUCGAUUAAGAGACUGUGGAGCAGAGGGAUUCGUGAGGUUGGCGCUAGUAGCAGCGCUAGUUCUUGCCACCAAGCAACUGAGGGCAGCCUUGGUGUUGCCGCUGGCAAUUUCGGCCCGUAG
rnacentral:rRNA from 1 species